GUCUACGGCCAUACUACCCUGAAUGCACCCAGUCUUGUCUGAUCUCAGAAGCUAACCAGGGUUGGGCCUGGUUAGUACUUGGAUGAAAGAAUCUCAGGGAUCUGAAAAUU
rnacentral:rRNA from 1 species